rnacentral:tRNA from 1 species
GGCUGUAGCUCAAUGGCAGAGCGCUUGUCUGUGGAACAAGAUGUUGUGGGUUCGAGCCCCACCAGC